rnacentral:rRNA from 1 species
CCUACGGGAGGUAGCAGUGAGGAAUAUUGGUCAAUGGCCGCAGGGCUGAACCAGCCAAGUCGCGUGAGGGAUGACGGUCCUAUGGAUUGUAAACCUCUUUUGUCAGGGAGCAAAGGGCGCCACGUGUGGCGUUUUGCGAGUACCUGAAGAAAAAGCAUCGGCUAACUCCGUGCCAGCAGCCGCGGUAAUACGGAGGAUGCGAGCGUUAUCCGGAUUUAUUGGGUUUAAGGGGUGUGCAGGCGGAAUGUGAUGUCAGCGGGAAAAUUUCGGGGCUCAACCGCGUCUUGCCUUUGAAACUGGUGUUCUUGAGUGAGCGAGAGGUAUGCGGAAUUCGUGGUGUAGCGGUGAAAUGCGUAGAUAUUAGGAGGAACACCAGUGGCGAAGGCGGGUUGCUAGACUGUAACUGACACUGAGGCACGAAAGCGUGGGGAGCAAACAGGAUUAGAUACCCCAGUAGUC